UGGAGGCAGCAGUGGGGAAUCUUGGACAAUGGAGGCAACUCUGAUCCAGCCAUGCCGCGUGAGUGAUGAAGGCCCUAGGGUUGUAAAACUCUUUCGGCGGGGACGAUAAUGACGGUACCCGCAGAAGAAGCUCCGGCUAACUUCGUGCCAGCAGCCGCGGUAAUACGAAGGGGGCUAGCGUUGUUCGGAAUUACUGGGCGUAAAGCGCGCGCAGGCGGUCCUUCAAGUCAGAGGUGAAAGCCCAGGGCUCAACCCUGGAAUUGCCUUUGAGACUGAGGGACUUGGGUACGGGAGAGGUGAGUGGAAUUCCGAGUGUAGAGGUGAAAUUCGUAGAUAUUCGGAAGAACACCAGUGGCGAAGGCGGCUCACUGGCCCGUUACCGACGCUCAGGCGCGACAGCGUGGGGAGCAAACGGGAUUAGAUACCCGGGUAGUCC
rnacentral:rRNA from 1 species